UCCCGGUUAACCCGGGCAGUCCCAUUAGAGUUCCCACCAUAACGUGCUGGCAACUAAUGGCAAGGGUUGCGCUCGUUGCGGGACUUAACCCAACACCUCACGGCACGAGCUGACGACAGCCAUGCAGCACCUGUACAGAUGUCCUUGCGGAAAGCGCCUUCUCUUGCGCGGUCAUCUGCAUGUCAAGCCCAGGUAAGGUUCUUCGCGUACCAUCGAAUUAAACCACAUGCUCCACUGCUUGUGCGAGCCCCCGUCAAUUCUUUUGAGUUUCACUCUUGCGAGCGUACUCCCCAGGCGGUGUACUUAUCGCGUUAGCUACGAUACAGGCAGGGUUGAGCCCACCUACAUCAAGUACACAUCGUUUACGGCGUGGACUAC
rnacentral:misc_RNA from 1 species